GACGAACGCUGGCGGCGUGCUUAACACAUGCAAGUCGAGCGGUAAGGCCCUUUCGGGGGUACACGAGCGGCGAACGGGUGAGUAACACGUGGGUGACCUGCCCUCAGCUCUGGGAUAAGCCUGGGAAACCGGGUCUAAUACUGGAUAUGACUCCAUGACGCAUGUUGUGGGGUGGAAAGCCUUGUGCGGCUGAGGAUGGGCCCGCGGCCUAUCAGCUUGUUGGUGGGGUGAGGCCUACCAAGGCGACGACGGGUAGCCGGCCUGAGAGGGCGACCGGCCACACUGGGACUGAGACACGGCCCAGGCUCCUACGGGAGGCAGCAGUGGGGAAUCUUGCGCAAUGGGCGAAAGCCUGACGCAGCGACGCCGCGUGAGGGAUGACGGCCU
rnacentral:rRNA from 1 species